UGUGUGUGUGUGUUUGUUUAACUGUUGUUCCGUUGUCCUCGGGCCAAAUUUGAGCCAUUUUCAAAAAGUUUCUAUAUCACAAAUUUGGGUUUCUUUCAACCAAAUUGU